AUGUGCUUUUGUCUCUGCCCUUUCACUUGAAUUUGUCUCCUUCGGGUUAUUUGCACAGAGUGGGGACACCUGCCCUCGCCCCCACCACAGCCCCAAUAUCAGAUCAUUAAUUAACUUCCUUCUUAAAUAUCUGAGCACUCCCUGAAACUGCUUGCACCCACUGACAUGGUACAGCGAUUGUCAUGAAAUGAUGCUCCAGGGAACCCGAAGAGCACCAAUAGAGAACAAACUGGAUUUCAGCUCCAUGAAGAUUUCUUGAAAGUGGUCACCCACAAUGAAUUGCAGUCUAUGGCAACAAUGCACCCUUUAGUAAAGGAGGUGGAGGAGAAGACUUAGAAGGCUAGAUUGUCCCCUUGGGAAGAAAGGGAAAUCAUCAGCAAAACAAGGAAGGGAUGUUGGUAAGCGACACAGCGAACUUGACCCAUAAUUGGACAUU
rnacentral:lncRNA from 1 species